GCCCUAUGGGGGAAAGAUUUAUCGCCNAAGGAUGGGCCCGCGUUGGAUUAGCUAGUUGGAUGCNNUAAAGGCCUACCAAGGCGACGAUCCAUAGCUGGUCUGAGAGGAUGAUCAGCCACACUGGGACUGAGACACGGCCCAGACUCCUACGGGAGGCAGCAGUGGGNAAUAUUGGACGAUGGGCGCAAGCCUGAUCCAGCCAUGCCGCGUGAGUGAUGAAGGCCCUAGGGUUGUAAAGCUCUUUCNGCGAGGANGAUAAUGACGUUACUCGCAGAAGAAGCCNCGGNUNUUUUNUUGCCAGCAGCCGCGGUAAUACNAANGGNGCUAGCGUUGUUCGGAAUCACUGGGCGUAAAGCGCACGUANGCGGACUUUUAAGUCAGGGGUGAAAUCCCGGGGCUCAACCCCGGAACUGCCUUUGAUACUGGAAGUCUUGAGUCCGAGAGAGGUGAGUGGAACUCCGAGUGUANAGGUGAAAUUCGUAGAUAUUCGGAAGAACACCAGUGGCGAAGGCGGCUCACUGGCUCGGNACUGACGCUGAGGUGCGAAAGCGUGGGNAGCAAACAGGAUUAGAUACCCUGCUAGUCCACGCCGNAAACGAUGGAAGCUAGCCGUCAGGUAGCAUGCUAUUUGNUGNCGCAGCUAACGCAUUAANCUUCC
rnacentral:rRNA from 1 species